AGUGCCGGCCACCCUUCCUCUGCCCUCGAGCCCGAGUCAUAUUGCCGAGCUCUUUUCCCUCCGUGCUGUCUGCCCUAGAUUGCUGGAAUUCAGAAGAUUAACCACCUACAGUGCAGCAACAGGGGAUCAUAUGAAAUUGUGGGAUCUGUUCUCGGCAGUAAAUUUGUCUCUGCUGUGGAUUAACAAUCAAGGCUGAGGAAUAAGGACUUUGACGCGAGACGAGUAUCUCGGAGUCAGAUUUGGACCAUUUUAUCGGAGGCGGG